ensembl:lncRNA
CUUGAGAAAAGAAGAUUCAGAGUGGAUCUGACUAAUGUUUAUAAGUCUCUUAAGUGUGGGAGUCAAAGAGACAUGGCCAACCUCUUUUCAGCAGUCUCUGGGGACAGAACAAGGAGAAACAGCCAUAAACUGGAGCACAGGAAAUUCUACACCAAUAAGCAAAAUAACUUCUUCACAGUGAGGAUGACAGAGCACGGGAACAGGCUGCCCUGGGAUGUUGUGGAUUUUCCUUUUCUGGAGAUAUUCAAGACCUGCCUGGACAGCUACCUGUGUAACCUGCUGUAGGGGGUCUGCUUUGCAGGUCAUUGAUGAAGAUGUUGAACAAGACCAGACCCAGUACUGAGCAACCCCUGGGGAUCACUGCUAGCUACAGAUCUUCAACUAGACAACACUGCUGAUCGACAGACCUUUGAGCUCUGCCAGUUAGCCAGUUCUCAGCCCAUCUCACUGUCCACUCAUCUAUUCUACACUAGCACUUAUAAAAAACACAAUAGAAAAACCUUAGCAUAUGAGAGUAAUAUAAAUUAGAAAUAAUCCUGAAUAUACUUCCAAAUUUUAGUAUUAGGAAACUGUCUUGGUUUCAACUGUGACAGAGUUUAUUUAAUUCAUAGUGUAAGGUAUGAAGCUAUGUUUUGACUCUGGGAGAAAAACAACACUGAUAGUAAUCAAAACACACCAAUGUUUUAGCUAUUGCUGAGCUUCUUGUAUUGUACUGCCAGUGAUGGGGGCUGAGGGGACACACGUUGUUGGGAGAGCACAGAACCAAGAGGCUGACCUAAACUGAAGGGAUAUUCCAUACCAUACAACAUUGUGUAAAAAAAGUUAAAGAACUUUUAGAGUGAGAAGCGGUGGAGGGGAGUAACCAUUUUGGGGGACUGUUUGGGCAUUGUUUGGAAGGUGGUGAGUGUGUUGUUAAUUACUUGUUUUGUAAAUAUAUAUUAUCAUUAAUAUUAUUAUUUUCCUUUUCUGUCUUAGUAAAUGGUGUUUUAAGUCAACCCAUGAGUUCUAAUCUGUUGUUUUUUUCCCAGUUCUCUCCACAGUCCCAGUGGGAGGAAGGAUUAAGCAAAUGACUGUGUGGCAUUUAGCUGACUGCUGGGUUAAACUACGUUAUUUUUGUUUGUUUGUUUUUGUUUGUUUGUUUUUUUUCCCCCUGCUAUAAAUGCUCCUUUUGCUUGUGUGUAGUUUGAGGAAUUUGAGUAGCAAGAGGUAAACUGAAAAAGAAUUCCUUGUCUCAGUGAGGAAUCACCUACUUAGUAAUAUAAAUCUAUGUGACACAGAAAGCAAUAUAUUCAUCCAAUUAAAUUCAGUGUGUUUUUAGUAUCAUGAUAUACGGAUUUUUGAAAUAUGUAUCUUUCAUUUUGGUUCUUAGAAAUGUGUUGUGUGAGCCAACACAGGUAUAAGUUAUAUAGGAAUGAAAUGAGAAGCAUUAUCCUAUGAUCUAUUGCAUUGUUGUAUAUGAAAUGAAAAUAGGCUAGGGAGCCUAUUAUGACUGUUGUGCUACUUGAAUCCAUGAUAAUGAGAGAACUUAGAAAAUCCUGUAUGUCAAAUAUUAGUCUCUCUCAAGUGACUUGUUUCCCUGUGAAAUUUAUUAACACUAUAUGUGACAAUAUUUUGUUAUAAAGUUACAAAUCACAGUUAAUAAUAGUUUGGAGGGAAUUUUUUUUUUUUUUUUUUUGUACUUUAGACUCAG